rnacentral:rRNA from 1 species
GACGAACGCUGGCGGCGUGCCUAACACAUGCAAGUCGAACGGAAAGGCCCUGCUUUUGUGCGGUUCUCGAGUGGCGAACGGGUGAGUAACACGUGAGUAUCCUGCCCUUGACUUUCGGAUAACUUCAGGAAACUGGGGCUAAUAUCGGAUAGGAUCUCCUGCUGCAUGGUGGGGGUUGGAUAGUUUCGGCGGUUGGGGAUGGACUCGCGGCUUAUCAGCUUGCUGGUGGGGUAGUGGCUUACCAAGGCUUUGACGGGUAGCCGGCCUGAGAGGGUGACCGGCCACAAUGGGACUGAGAGACGGAGCAGACGCCUACGGGAGGCAGCGGUGGGGAGUAUUGCACAGUGGGCGGGAGCCUGAGGCAGCAACGCCGCGGGCGGGAUGACGGCCUUCGGGUUGUAAACCGCUUUCGCCUGUGACGAAGCGUGAGUGACGGUAAUGAGUAAAGAAGCACCGGCUAACUACGUG